ensembl:lncRNA
ACACACACACACACACACAACGUAAAGUCACAGAGCGGGGUCAACGACUGCUAAGGCACCUGGUGAGUAAAGCACAACGCCACUGGACUGUGGAGUGACCAAUCACGCUUCUCUGUUUGGCAGUCAGAUGGGCGAGUCUGAUUAACACACACACAAACACACGCUAACCACCAUAUGAUUAACACACACACACACACACACGCUAACCACCACAUAGAUAACAGGAUACACACACACACACACACGCUCACCACCACAUAGAUAACAUGACACACACUCACACGCUAACCACCACAUAGAUAACAUGAUUAACACACACACACACACACACGCUCACCACCACAUAGAUAACAGGAUACACACACACACACACACGCUCACCACCACAUAGAUAACAUGAUACACACACACACGCUAACCACCACAUAAAUAACAUGAUACACACACACACACACACACACACGCUAACCACCACAUGAUUAACACACACACGCUAACCACCACAUAGAUAACAGGAUACACACACACACACACACACACACAGUAACCACCACAUGGCUAACAUGAUACACACACACACACACGCUCCUCUUCACGUGCAGGUUCUUAAGCCUGGAAUAGUCCUAGAGGGUGGGGGGGGGGCCUAGGGCUGGAAAUGGACUCAGAGUGCCGGAGAGGGGGGAGGGGGGGGGGCACAACCUGUGAGCCAGUGAGUCCGCAAACAACUGCCCCAUCAAGCCUGUCCACACUCCUGCCUAUAGGCCCCACGACAGGCCCAGACUAGUGUCCACCCCCCUGCCUAUAUACUCCCAUGACUGCUCUUAUAUGGAGGUCUCCACACAUGGCAUGGUGUGCCUUACCCCCCCCCCGGACUCCACGGACAGAGAGGCGUGUGGGGAGCAGGAUGUUACCACCAUACACACAGCAGAGGGAAAGGAAGAGGACUGCUGAGAGAGAAGAGUUGGUGGAGCGCUGAGAGAGAAGAGUCCGGAACGCUGAGAGAGAAGAGUCCGGAGCGCUGAGAGAGAAGAGUCCGGAGCGCUGAGAGAGAAGAGUCCGGAACGCUGAGAGAGAAGAGUCCGGAGCGCUGAGGGAGAAGAGUCCGGAACGCUGAGAGAGAAGAGUUGGUGGAGCGCUGAGAGAGAAGAGUCCGGAACGCUGAGAGAGAAGAGUCCGGAACACUGAAGAGUGGCUGAACAGUCUAUUGAGCUGUAGGGCAGCUGUUCUAUCCCAGGAGUUCCUGCUUCCUGUCGCGGGACAUCAUGAGGAGUGUGACGCUGCUGCUUCUUCUGGCUCUGGGGGCUCAUCUGUGUGCUGCUGCACCCCUCAGCCUUGGGGGGAGAGGGGCAGACAGUGCUGGUUAUGCAGCUAAGGAAGCCCCUGAAGAAACCCUCUCACUGGAGAGCCAGCCAGCCGCUGCAGACGGACCACAACUGGCACCAGAAGAACCAGUUCCUGAAGAACCAGCUGCAGAAGAAACUGUUGUGGUUGCGGCAGCACCUGAAGAGCCGACUGUAGAGGAAGUUGCCCCAGAGGAGGCUGCUCCUGUGGAGGAUGCUGAGGAGGAGGUGGUGGUCAUCCCAGAGGAAACUGCCCCUGAGGAGGAAGAGGCUGCCCCUGAGGAGGAAGAAGCUGCCCCUGAGGAGGAGGAAGCUGCCCCCAAGGAAGAAGACGCUGCCCCUGAGGAAGAAACUGCCCCUGAGGAAGAAGACGCCCCUGAGGAGGAGGAAACUGCCCCUGAGGAGGAGGUGGUGGUCAUCCCAGUAGAAUCUGCCCCUGAGGAAGAAGAAGUUGCCCCUGAGGAAGAAGCUGCCCCUGAGGAGGAAGAAGCUGCCCCUGAGGAGGAGGAAACUGCCCCUGAGGAGGAGGUGGUGAUCAUCCCAGUAGAAUAUGCCCCUGAGGAGGAAACUGCCCCUGAGGAAGAAGAAGUUGCCCCUGAAGAGGAGGAAGCUGAUCCUGAGGAGGAAACUGCCCCUGAGGAGGAGGUGGUGGUCAUCCCAGUAGAAGCUGCCCCUGAAGAGGAAGAAGUUGCCCCUGAGGAGGAAGAAGCUGCCCCUGAAGAGGAAGAAGUUGCCCCUGAGGAGAAGGAAACUGCCCCUGAGGAAGAAGAAGUUGCCCCUGAGGAGGAGGUGGUGGUCAUCCCAGUAGAAGCUGCCCCUGAGGAGGAGGAAGCUGCCCCUGAGGAGGAGGUGGUGGUCAUCCCAGUAGAAGCGGCCCCUGAGGAGGAAGAAGCUGCCCCUGAAGUUGCCCCAGUUGUUGCAUUAGAUACAGAGGAAGAAGAAGCUGCUCCGGAGGGAACUGUGGAAGAGGAAGUUGCCCCAGUUGUUCCAGCUGAAGAGGAAGCUUCAGAGGGUGUUGUUGCGGCAGAAGCAGAGGAGGAAGCAGCUGCUCUGGAGGAAACUCUAGAAGAAGAAACUGCCCCAGAGGAAACUCUAGAAGAAGAAACUGCCCCAGAGGAAACCGCUGAAGAGGAAACUGCCCCAGAGGAAACAGCUGAAGAGGAAGCUGGCUCAGAGGACGUCGUUGCAGUGGCUCCUCCAGAAACUGUGGAAGAGGAGGCUGUGUCCGAGGACGUUGCUGAAGAGGAACCUGCUGCAGAGGAAGAAGUGGCUCCUGUUCCAGUCGACGUAGUUGAUGAGGAACCAGCACCAGAAGAACCUGCCCCAGAAGAACCCGCCCCAGAAGAACCCGCCCCAGAAGAACAUGCCCCAGACGAACCUGCCCCAGAAGAACCUGCCCCUGAGGGAGAGUCAGAGGAGGGAGAGUCAGAGGAGGGAGGUGAAGGUGCUGUUCUAGUAGAUACCCAGGAAGAACCAGCCGCUGAAGAGGAGACUGUUGGAGAAGAAACUGCACCUGAGGUCGCUGUUGAAGAGGAAGCUAGCCCUGAAGAUGUUCUUCCGGACGAACCUGCCCCAGCAGAAACAGCUCCUGUCGAGGAACCUGUUCCUGUUCCAGACUGCGCAAAGUGUCCAGGGUGUCCAACGAUAGAAACAGUCAACGUGGAGGAGGAGGUGGUGGUGGUGGUGGUGGUUCCCAUGGCAACUGAGUCUCCUGAGGAAGAGCCGGGCUCCCCCACUCCUCUGGAACGGGAGGCACCUGAGGGGAAGGCAGGGGGAGUAAGCAGGGGUCUGCUAUUGGGCUCCGCCUUCAUGGGGCUGCUGUCACUCAUGGCCGUGGGAUCAGCAGGAAGGGCCAUCUCCAGGAAGCUGCGCUGAAGCCUGGUCUAGCCUGCUGUAUGGAUUCCCUGAUGAGCUGGAGACUGAAGGCCUGAUAACAGCUCUGGAGUGACCCUGUAGACUCACUCUCACACACACUCACACACACACACACACACACACACACAUACACACUCACACACAAACACACACACACACACUCACACACACACACACUCACACUCACACUCACACACACACAAUCACACACAAUCACACACACACUCACACACACACACACACACACACACUUACACACACACACACACACACACACACACACACACACACACACACCCAACACACACUCACACUGUUUAUUCCUACUUCCAACCUUUCCAGGACCUUAUAGUUCUGGGCAUACCACAAACCUCCUGCCCCAGCUGGGAAGUUUAUGUACACACAUGCGCAAACACACACACAAACACACACUCACACAUGCGCAAAC